GGGCAGUUAGCUCAGCUGGUAGAGCAUCGCCCUUACAAGGCGAGGGUCAAAGGUUCGAUCCCUUUACUGCCCACCA
rnacentral:tRNA from 1 species